rnacentral:lncRNA from 1 species
UUCAAUUCAAAAACCACCUUCUUGAAUUUAUAUAAAAAUUUUAAAAUGAAGUUGUCCAGUUCAAAAUUCUUUUGAGUCCUUGAGUCUCACUGUUCAAUUGAAAAUCAAUCAGUAUGAAAUGUGGAGGCUUGAUUAUAUGAUCCAAGGGGGAGAUUUUUUUCCUUUUCUCGCGCGUGUUUUGAUCUUUAAUUUUGGUAACUUCAUUAUUCCUAGGUUUCUUAUGCACGGUUUUUACCGUAUUUUUAAGGGAUUUAAUUAUAUUUUUCCAUAUUUCAUAUUUAAGGUUUUUAGUAUAAAUAUGUUAUUUCUUUCAUUAUAUUUUCAUUAAGACUUUUGAUAAUGAAAAUCUGAGACUUUUCUCUCUCGAAACUUUUGCUUCAAAAUUUUGUUCUUCCAUGGGCAAAAAUUGAACUUAUCAAGAUUAACCAUCUUGUGGCGUUCAACAAAUCGGAUGUGAUUUAUAUAAUUAUUUGUAAUCAAAAGGUCCUUCACAGUGUUGUUCUCGUUAGGUUGUUUCAUUUUAUAAUUACUGGGUCAGAUCCAAAAUUUCGGGAAAUUCAUUGAUCUUGUGUAAUCAAGAGGUCAAUAAUUAUUAUUGAUUGCUUGGUUCUAAUAUUGUGGGUUCAAUCCAAAGCCUCGAUUGUUGGCUUUCUUGGGAUCCGGCGUCAAUAUCCUGUGGGUUCGAUAGCGACCAUGUUAACCAGGUUCGCAUCAUUUAGUAUCAGAGAUCAGGCACCAAAAUCCAGGUUAUAUCAUUUUCUUUUUGCUUUGUUGAGUCUUGUUCUAUUUUGUGCAUCAAUUUUGGUGUUCUUGGUGUUCUUUGUGUCUUUUGUUGUUGUUGAGUCUUUAAUUUAUAAAAAUCCCAAAAAAAAAUUCAAAAGUUGUUUCUAGACUCAAUUAGCAUCCAAAUCAACUUUAGUUUGUUGCCUCUGAGUCGUUGUUAAUUUUUCUAUCAUAAGAGCAAAAAAAAUUAUUGAUCAUUCGUACGAUCCGAAAAAAAAAAUUUGUGUGUCAAGAAAAAUUGCCGACUAAUUCUUUGAAUCAAAAUCCUUUUUGUCAGGUCAAAUUUCAAUUCAAAAACCACCUUCUUGAAUUUAUAUAAAAAUUUUAAAAUGAAGUUGUCCAGUUCAAAAUUCUUUUGAGUCCUUGAGUCUCACUGUUCAAUUGAAAAUCAAUCAGUAUGUCUGGAAGGUUGUUUCGACGAUUGGAGAGAUUGUUGGAGUAUGUGGGGGAUAGGAUGGAAGGGUGGUGUAGAAAUUUGGUUGGAAACGGUGUUGAUGGGAGAUUGAGACAUGAAAGGAUGACAAUUCCACAAUUUAAGGGUAGGAACAAACCUGAGGCAUACUUGGCAUGGGAAGAACGGGUAGAAUUAGUGGUUGAUUGCCAUGAUUACUUCGGGGAGAGAAAAUUAAAGUUAGUUGUGAACACUUUUUGGAUUAUGCAAUUACUUGGUGGGAUCAGUUGACAAAAUCUAGGAGGAGGAAUGGAGAGAGAUGUAUUGAAACUUGGGAUGAAUUGAGGACUAUAAUGAGAAAGCGAUAUGCACCUAAAUAUUUUUAUAAGCGGGAUCGGCGUGAGCAAAAAUUUAGAGAGGAGCCUAGAAGAUAUAGUGGAGCUGGAAAUUCAAGGAGAGAGAAAACAACGUUUGUGAAGCAUGUUGAUCAUACAUCUAGCAGGGAACUCUGUUGGAUUAUAAGCGUGAACUCUCAGAGAUUCGUAACCUGAUUAACUCUCGGAAAACUCACAUGGAGGAACAAAAGGGUAAUAAAGAAAAUUAUGAGGUGGUUAGUUGUGAGGUAAAAGGAGAAAGAUCCAAACUUGCAGGAUUAAGCAAUCAAGGCGAGUACACUUUGAUCAAUGUGAAGAUGAUUGGGUUUACUUACGGAAGAGGCGUAUACGAAAUCAAAGGAGGUCCAAAUUGCAUCCUAGAGGUGAUGGACCAUUUCACAUCAUUGCAUUGAUCGGAGAAAAAGGCGAUAACUUGGGUCCGAAUUUGAGGUUGAAUCCUUUCGAAGAGAGAGGGACUGAUAUGAUCCAAGGGGAAGAUUUCUUUCCUUUUCUCGUGCGUGUUUUGUUUUGGCUAGGAAUCUUUAAUUUUGGUAACUUUAUUAUUCCUAGGAUUCUUAUGCACAGUUUUCACCAUAUUUUUAGGGGAUUUAAUUAUAUUUUUCCAUAUUUCAUAUUUUAGGUAUUUAGUAUAAAUAGGUUAUGUCUUUCAUUGUAUUUUCAUUAAG